rnacentral:misc_RNA from 1 species
UGGCUCUGGCAUCGAUGAAGAACGCGGCGAAAUGCGAUAAGUAAUGUGAAUUGCAGAAUUCAGUGAACCAUCGAAUCUUUGAACGCACAUUGCGCCCGCCAGUAUUCUGGCGGGCUUGCCUGCUCGAGCGUCAUUUCAACCCUCAAGCCCCCCGGGGCUUGGCGUUGGGGAUCGGCUCUCGGCCGGGCCGGCAAUCUCUGCCGCCCCGCGCCCGCCGCCCCCCAAACCCAGUGGCGGUCACGUCGCGGCCUUCUAUGCGUAGUAGAAACACCUCGCACUGGAGCGCGGCAUGCCCACGCCGUAAAACCCCCGACUUUUACAAGGUUGACCUCGAAUCAGGUAGGACUACCCGCUGA